rnacentral:rRNA from 1 species
GCAGUCGAACGGCAGCGGGGGCUUCGGCCUGCCGGCGAGUGGCGAACGGGUGAGUAAUGCAUCGGAACGUGCCCAUGUCGUGGGGGAUAACGUAUCGAAAGGUACGCUAAUACCGCAUACGUCCUGAGGGAGAAAGCGGGGGAUCUUCGGACCUCGCGCGAUUGGAGCGGCCGAUGUCGGAUUAGCUAGUAGGUGAGGUAAAGGCUCACCUAGGCGACAAUCCGUANCGGGUCUGAGAGGAUGAUCCGCCACACUGGGACUGAGACACGGCCCAGACUCCUACGGGAGGCAGCAGUGGGGAAUUUUGGACAAUGGGGGCAACCCUGAUCCAGCCAUGCCGCGUGAGUGAAGAAGGCCUUCGGGUUGUAAAGCUCUUUCGGCCGGGAAGAAAUCGUGGUCUCUAACAUAGGCCAUGGAUGAAGGUACCGGACUAAGAAGCACCGGCUAACUACGUGCCA